AACACCACCUUGGUUGCAUGUAUGGAUCUGCAGGGCCUUCUCCUGUGCCCAAAGCUUCAAGCGUCUGCCCUGUACUACAAAAUGAAGCUUGGUGUCCAUAAUUUUACCAUCUACAAUAUGGCAUCACAUUAAGCAAAAAAUUACCUUUGGCAUGAGGGUGAAGCUGGGGUCUCUGCCAACGAGUUCGCCUCCUGCAUUGUGGAUUACCUUGAAGCACACCCCACUUACAAUGAAUUCAUCCUUUGGAGUGAUGGUUGUGGCUAUCAAAACAGAAAUCUGGUCCUGAGCAAUGCCCUCUUAAAGUUUGCUACUGAGAAAAAGAAACGUGUGACACAGAAGUACCUUGAAAGAGGUCACACACAAAUGGAAUGUGACUCUGUGCACAGUGUGAUUGAGAGGAAGUUGAGAAACCGUGACAUACAUGUUCCAGCUGAGUAUGCUGCAGUUAUUCGAGGAGCUCCUUCCAGUCCAAAACCAUACGAGGUGAAGUAUGUUGGUUACAGCUUUUUCCAAGACUUCAGCAAAGUCAACAUCUGUAAGUCAGUCCGACCUGGUAGCAAAGUUGGAGAUCCUACGGUGCAUGACCUUCAUACAUGAAACAUUAGCCAUAUCAUAUUAAAAUAUUUGGUUUCAUAAAUCUAAAAAUGCUUUUGGUUCCCUCUUAUCUCUGUGACCUAUGUCCCCCGACACCCCUCCCCCCUUCUUUUCUUUAAUCUAUCUAUUAGAUACAAUGUGGAUGGCAGUAUGGAGUUUAAAUUACUACACUCUGACAACUGGCAACCCUUCACAUCCCCAUCCCUGAGGAAGACGUGUGUCAUCGUGGCCCCACUCCAUACAUCCACCCUAAAAAUUAAAGCCCUGAAGUUCAAGCACCUUCAAGAACUGAAACCCAAGGACUUUCAUCCAUUUUACAAUGCACUUGACCAUGAGUGAUGCAGUUUCACUACCUGGAUGAAUGGGCUGUCCUGACUUACUGAUUAAUUUAUUAAUUAAAUGUUCUAUUUAUUGUGUAUUGUAAUGUAAUUGUUUAUGUGCAUGUUUUAAAAUGACUUGGUCUUAUCUGUUGAAAAUCUUGCAUUAAAGGGAUAGUUCACACAAAAAUGAAAAUUCUGUCGUCAUUUACUCACCCUCAAGUUGUUUCAAACCUGUAUGAAUUUCUUUUUUCUGAAAAGAAAAGAUAUUUUGAAAAUUGUCUGUAACCAAACAGUUGACGGACCCCAUUGACUUCCAUAGUAAUUUUUUUUUCCUACUAUGGAAGUUAGUGGGGUCCAUCAACUGUUUGGUUACAGACAUUUUUCAAAAUAUCUUCUUUUGUGUUCAGCAGAAAAAAGAAAUUCAUACAGGUUUGAAACAACUUGAGGGUGAGUAAAUGAUGACAGAAUUUUCAUUUUAAAGUGAACUAUCCCUUUAACUACAAUUAAUCAGCCUUGAUAACAAGUGUAUUAAAUUGACACUGUAUCUUUACUUGGAAUGCACUUGCUUGUAGACUGUACAAUUUAGGGUCUAUUAACAUGUUCUUAUCCCCCUUCAUCCAUUAAUUCCCUAAAUCACUUUUCCUCUUUAGGGUUGUGGGGAGGCUGGAACCCUUUUUCCCUCAGCAACAUUUUUAAAUUGCCUGUUCAAAUACAAAUUUGUUUAAUGCUUUUUGUAGAAGAUUUAUUUUUGAGAAAUUUACAUACGCAUCAUGGUUGUUCAUUUUAAAGUUUUAGGUGAUUUUAUAUGAAAAAUCAAUAAAUUAUUUAGAAAUUCCA
ensembl:lncRNA